GGCCCAAACUCCUACGGGAGGCUGCAGUAGGGAAUCUUCCACAAUGGGCGAAAGCCUGAUGGAGCAACGCCGCGUGUGUGAUGAAGGCUUUCGGGUCGUAAAGCACUGUUGUAUGGAAGAAAAGUUAAGGUAGGGAAUGACCUUAGCCUGACGGUACCAUACCAGAAAGGGACGGCUAAAUACGUGCCAGCAGCCGCGGUAAUACGUAUGUCCCGAGCGUUAUCCGGAUUUAUUGGGCGUAAAGCGAGCGCAGACGGUUGGUUAAGUCUGAUGUGAAAGCCCGGAGCUCAACUCCGGAAAGGCAUUGGAAACUGGUUAACUUGAGUGCAGUAGAGGUAAGUGGAACUCCAUGUGUAGCGGUGGAAUGCGUAGAUAUAUGGAAGAACACCAGCGGCGAAGGCGGCUUACUGGACUGUAACUGACGUUGAGGCUCGAAAGUGUGGGUAGCAAACAGGAUUAGAUACCCUGGUAGUCCACACCGUAAACGAUGAACACUAGGUGUUAGGAGGUUUCCGCCUCUUAGUGCCGAAGCUAACGCAUUAAGUGUUCCGCCUGGGGAGUACGACCGCAAGGUUGAAACUCAAAGGAAUUGACGGGGACCCGCACAAGCGGUGGAGCAUGUGGUUUAAUUCGAAGCAACGCGAAGAACCUUACCAGGUCUUGACAUCCUUUGAAGCUUUUAGAAAUAGAAGUGUUCUCUUCGGAGACAAAGUGACAGGUGGUGCAUGGUCGUCGUCAGCUCGUGUCGUGAGAUGUUGGGUUAAGUCCCGCAACGAGCGCAACCCUUAUUGUUAGUUGCCAGCAUUCAGAUGGGCACUCUAGCGAGACUGCCGGUGACAAACCGGAGGAAGGCGGGGACGACGUCAGAUCAUCAUGCCCCUUAUGACCUGGGCUACACACGUGCUACAAUGGCGUAUACAACGAGUUGCCAACCUGCGAAGGUGAGCUAAUCUCUUAAAGUACGUCUCAGUUCGGACUGCAGUCUGCAACUCGACUGCACGAAGUCGGAAUCGCUAGUAAUCGCGGAUCAGCACGCCGCGGUGAAUACGUUCCCGGGUCUUGUACACACCGCCCGACACACCAUGGAAGUUUGUAAUGCCCAAAGCCGGUGGCCUAACCGUAAGGAGGGAACCGUCUAAGGCAG
rnacentral:rRNA from 1 species